GACGAACGCUGGCGGCGUGCUUAACACAUGCAAGUCGAACGGAAAGGCCCUGCUUUUGUGGGGUGCUCGAGUGGCGAACGGGUGAGUAACACGUGAGUAACCUGCCCUUGACUUUGGGAUAACUUCAGGAAACUGGGGCUAAUACCGGAUAGGAGCUCCUGCUGCAUGGUGGGGGUUGGAAAGUUUCGGCGGUUGGGAAUGGACUCGCGGCUUAUCAGCUUGUUGGUGGGGUAGUGGCUUACCAAGGCUUUGACGGGUAGCCGGCCUGAGAGGGUGACCGGCCACAUUGGGACUGAGAUACGGCCCAGCCUACUACGGGAGGCAGCAGUGGGGAAUAUUGCACAAUGGGCGGAAGCCUGAUGCAGCAACGCCGCGUGCGGGAUGACGGCCUUCGGGUUGUAAACCGCUUUCGCCUGUGACGAAGCGUGAGUGACGGUAAUGGGUAAAGAAGCACCGGCUAACUACGUG
rnacentral:rRNA from 1 species